CGCGUGCGUCACACCACUGCGCAAUCAAGCACGGAAAUAAAAUAACAGCUGUUCUACAAUAUUCGCUCGGGCAACUCAGGCAGCAGCUGUACCACGCAGCCGUUUUCCUUGGGAUCGCGAUUGUUUGGACGUUGCUUUCUCAUUGUUGUAAUAAUCACCGUGUAGUUUGGACUGUUCUUUCGCUCAUUUUUCAUCGUUUAUUACUGUGCAAGUAAAUACAGUAUUGGCGUUUGAAGUGUGUGAAUCAUAAAUCCGUAAGCUACACUGGCGCUAUGUUUACCAAAAUUCCUCGUUCGUUGUUGUUGUGACUCAAGUUGAAAUGCCUCGUGAAUACGUGGACCGCGAGGAGAGUUCCGCAGUGUUAUGUUAAUAGAAUCUCUUUUAGAUAGUGAUUUUAGUAAAAUUAGUUCUUGACAAUGUCUAACACGGUUCCGACCAGUUCUGCACUGAGGGCUUUGGCCUUAGAAUAUAAGAGUCUGCAAGAGGAGCCCGUGGAAGGGUUCCGAGUGAAACUUUUAGGGGAGGACAAUCUAUUUGAAUGGGAAGUUGCAAUUUUCGGUCCUCCAGACACGUUAUAUCAAGGUGGAUAUUUCAAGGCACAUAUGAAAUUCCCGCCAGACUAUCCUUAUUCACCACCUUCCAUUAGAUUUUUAACAAAAGUAUGGCAUCCAAAUGUAUAUGAGAAUGGUGACCUCUGCAUAUCGAUCCUGCACCCGCCGGUUGACGACCCACAAUCGGGCGAGCUACCGUGCGAACGUUGGAACCCUACGCAGUCGGUGCGCACCGUGCUGCUCUCCGUGAUCUCACUACUCAACGAGCCCAACACCUUCAGCCCAGCUAACGUCGACGCCAGCGUCAUGUACCGCCGCUGGCGCGACUCCAAAGGCAAAGAUAAGGAAUAUGAGAAUAUUAUCAGAAAGCAGGCCCAGGUGGCUCGCACGGAGGCGGAGAAAGAGGGCAUAGUUGUACCACUUACAUUAGAAGAUUAUUGCAUUAAAACUCAAGUUAAGUCGACGACGCAGGAGCCUCAGCUGGACAUGACAGACUUCUACGACGACGACUAUGACGACCUCGACACAGACUCUGAAGAGGAAGUGGACGGAGGAGAUGGGGACGGAGACGACAGUGGCAACGGCGAGUCGUGAGGCCGCGCCCCGCUCCCCACCCCGCGCGCCCCGCGCCUUGCCUGACAUCCCCCGCGGCGGACGGACCUCGCCCACACCGUUGUCCGUACCGCUUGCCUGAACUGGAUAGUUAAUAUUAAUUUUAUUGUAAUAACAGUGAAUGAGUCAUUCUUAUUUCUAUUAUAUCUCAAUGGCACCCAAGGCCAUUAUGUAAAUGAUAGAAUCUUUCUGAAAUAGACAAUUAUACAAUUAGUUUUUGUUUAAUAUUAUUAUGUGCAACAAGCAACAAUACUUCUGUGAUUUUAAAACAUUGUUGCCCGAAUAUUUGUUUAUCUUGAUGUUUAGUUUUAUUAUUUUAAUACUAGAAUCAUUAAAAGGUAAUUACAAUGAUAUCUGGCAUUUUAAUUUCUGGUACUAUAAAUGUCUCAUAUUGUAACUAUUUUAUAGUAAAUGGAAUUUAACACCAAGGAGUUCGCAAGUCAGUAUAAUUAUGUAUUCACCCAGUUUGUGUUGUAAAUGUACUAUAUGUUUUAAUCCCUAGCUUCAUUGAUUUGCUCCUGUAAAAUUGUGUGUACAAAGAUGCUAAUACUAAGAACUCUUAACAAUUCUGGUGUAUGCUCAAAUCAUAUUAUGAUAAUACUAAAGAAUGAUACAGUACAUUAAUAAGAAUGUUUAGUGAUUCACGAACGAAAUUAUUUGUAAUGUAUAUUAAGGUAUAAAUGAAUUUUAAUGGUUAGUGUGCACUAAGUUAAAUUUAUAUAGAUUUGUAAUGUAAUAAUUGUAUGAUUUGUAAUUUUAAGACUUAGAUUACCUGCGACUUUGGCUUCUAAAUUCCUAAAGCUACUUGUGUAACAAUGUUAUCUCAGAACGCGAUGCUACUUCAUAACAUUUAAUGCGUUAGAACUAUUUACCUAAUCGUUUGUCACAGUCAGAAUAAAAUGAUUUCGAAAAUCCUGCUAAAAUCGUCCAAAACUUAUUCAUUAGUUAGUUUUAAGUUAGAGUAAAUGGUUUGGAAAUUUAUCGUAGGAAAAUUCACGAUGAGAAUGUUAAUUACGUAUAUAAUAAACAGAAUGUGUUUGGAUGAGAA